rnacentral:rRNA from 1 species
GACGAACGCUGGCGGCGUGCUUAACACAUGCAAGUCGAACGGAAAGGCCCUGCUUUUGUGGGGUGCUCGAGUGGCGAACGGGUGAGUAACACGUGAGUAACCUGCCCUUGACUUUGGGAUAACAUCAGGAAACUGGGGCUAAUACCGGAUAGGAGCUCCUGCUGCAUGGUGGGGGUUGGAAAGUUUCGGCGGUUGGGGAUGGACUCGCGGCUUAUCAGCUUGUUGGUGGGGUAGUGGCUUACCAAGGCUUUGACGGGUAGCCGGCCUGAGAGGGUGACCGGCCACAUUUGGACUGAGAUACGGCCCAGACUCCUACGGGAGGCAGCAGUGGGGAAUAUUGCACAAUGGGCGGAAGCCUGAUGCAGCAACGCCGCGUGCGGGAUGACGGCCUUCGGGUUGUAAACCGCUUUCGCCUGUGACGAAGCGUGAGUGACGGUAAUGGGUAAAGAAGCACCGGCUAACUACGUG